rnacentral:rRNA from 1 species
CCUACGGGAGGCAGCAGUGAGGAAUAUUGGUCAAUGGGCGGAAGCCUGAACCAGCCAAGUCGCGUGAGGGAUUAAGGCCCUGCGGGUCGUAAACCUCUUUUGCCGGGGAGCAGAGGUCCGGACGUGUCCGGGCCGGGAGAGUACCCGGAGAAAAAGCAUCGGAUAACUCCGUGCCAGCAGCCGCGGUGAGACGGGGGAUGCGAGCGCUGUCCGGAUUUAUUGGGUUUAAAGGGUGCGUAGGCGGGCAUUUAAGCCGGGGGUCAAAUGUCGGGGCUCAAACCCGGCCUGCCGUCGGAACUGGGUGCCUUGAGUGGGCGAGAAGUAUGCGGAAUGCGUGGUGUAGCGGUGAAAUGCAUAGAUAGCACGCAGAACCCCGAUUGCGAAGGCAGCAUACCGGCGCCCUACUGACGCUGAGGCACGAAAGUGCGGGUAUCGAACAGGAUUAGAUACCCCAGUAGUC